AUGAUCCUGCGAACAAAUCAUCUAAAACUAUCCCUGAUGAUGAUUUCCAUCAAAUUUUGCUCUCGUCUCAAUAGGUAUUUAUUCCUUGAGAAAGGAGAAGAAUACUUUAAGAAAGAAGAUUAUUAUAGAAAAAUAAAGAGGCCACAGGUAAAAAUGUUCAAAAGGAGAUGGGUAUACAGCAUAUAAACUAUGGAUCUGGAGUAGGCCAUUUGGAAUCAAAAGUAACUUAUAAAGAACCAUGAUACUUUGGGUCUUGAGAAAUACCAGAAGAAAUAAACAUUUUU
rnacentral:lncRNA from 1 species